GCUCCCAUGGCGUAGUGGUCACUGCGCUCGCCUUGCACGCGGGAGACCCGGGUUCGAUUCCGGGCGGGGUCA
rfam:Asian citrus Psyllid, Diaphorina citri - Florida Strain, whole genome shotgun sequence.